UAGCUAGUUGGUGAGGUAAAGGCUUACCAAGGCGACGAUCUGUAGCGGGUCUGAGAGGAUGAUCCGCCACACUGGAACUGAGACACGGUCCAGACUCCUACGGGAGGCAGCAGUGGGGAAUUUUGGACAAUGGGGGCAACCCUGAUCCAGCCAUGCCGCGUGAGUGAAGAAGGCCUUCGGGUUGUAAAGCUCUUUCGGCCGGGAAGAAAUCGCAUGGGCCAAUACCCUGUGUGGAUGACGGUACCGGAAUAAGAAGCACCGGCUAACUACGUGCCAGCAGCCGCGGUAAUACGUAGGGUGCGAGCGUUAAUCGGAAUUACUGGGCGUAAAGCGUGCGCAGGCGGUUUUGUAAGACAGGCGUGAAAUCCCCGGGCUUAACCUGGGAACUGCGUUUGUGACUGCAAGGCUAGAGUACGGCAGAGGGGGGUGGAAUUCCACGUGUAGCAGUGAAAUGCGUAGAGAUGUGGAGGAACACCAAUGGCGAAGGCAGCCCCCUGGGUCGAUACUGACGCUCAUGCACGAAAGCGUGGGUAGCAAACAGGAUUAGAUACCCUGGUAGUCCACGCCCUAAACUAUGUCAACUAGGUGUUGGGUGGGUAAAACCAUUUAGUACCGUAGCUAACGCGUGAAGUUGACCGCCUGGGGAGUACGGCCGCAAGGUUAAAACUCAAAGGAAUUGACGGGGACCCGCACAAGCGGUGGAUGAUGUGGAUUAAUUCGAUGCAACGCGAAAAACCUUACCUACCCUUGACAUGCCAGGAACUUGCCAGAGAUGGCUUGGUGCCCGAAAGGGAGCCUGGACACAGGUGCUGCAUGGCUGUCGUCAGCUCGUGUCGUGAGAUGUUGGGUUAAGUCCCGCAACGAGCGCAACCCUUGUCGUUAAUUGCCAUCAUUUAGUUGGGCACUUUAGCGAGACUGCCGGUGACAAACCGGAGGAAGGUGGGGAUGACGUCAAGUCCUCAUGGCCCUUAUGGGUAGGGCUUCACACGUCAUACAAUGGUCGGUACAAAGGGUUGCCAAGCCGCGAGGCGGAGCCAAUCCCAGAAAGCCGAUCGUAGUCCGGAUUGCAGGCUGCAACUCGCCUGCAUGAAGUCGGAAUCGCUAGUAAUCGUGGAUCAGCAUGUCACGGUGAAUACGUUCCCGGGUCUUGUACACACCGCCCGUCACACCAUGGGAGCGGGUUCCGCCAGAAGUAGGUAGCCUAACCGCAAGGGGGGCGCUUACCACGGCGGGGUUCGUGACUGGGGUGAAGUCGUAACAAGGUAGCCGUAGGGGGACCUGCGGCUG
rnacentral:rRNA from 1 species